UACGUAGGGGGCUAGCGUUGUCCGGAAUCAUUGGGCGUAAAGCGCGCGUAGGCGGCCCGGUAAGUCCGCUGUAAAAGUCCAGGGCUCAACCCUGGAACGCCGGUGGAUACUGUCGGGCUAGAGUCCGGAAGAGGCGAGUGGAAUUCCUGGUGUAGCGGUGAAAUGCGCAGAUAUCAGGAAGAACACCCGUGGCGAAGGCGGUUCUCUGGGACGGUACUGACGCUGAGACGCGAAAGCGUGGGGAGCGAACAGG
rnacentral:rRNA from 1 species